rnacentral:rRNA from 1 species
AAUUUUGGACAAUGGGGGAAACCCUGAUCCAGCCAUCCCGCGUGUGUGAUGAAGGCCUNCGGGUUNUNAAGCACUUUUUACAGGGNCGAAAUAGCAGGGGCUAAUAUCCUCAGUGAAUGACGGUACCUGUAGAAUAAGCACCGCCUACCUACGUGCCCGCAGCCGCGGUAAUACGUAGGGUGCAAGCGUUAAUCGGAAUUACUGGGCGGAAAGGGGACGCAAGCGGGUAGGAAAGAAAGAUGUGAAAUCCCAGGGCUCAACCUUGGAACUGCAUUUUUAACUACCUAGCUAGAGUAUGUCAGAGGGGGGUAGAAUUCCACGUGUAGCAGUGAAAUGCGUAGAGAUGUGGAGGAAUACCGAUGGCGAAGGCAGCCCCCUGGGAUAAUACUGACGCUCAGGUACGAAAGCGUGGGGAGCAAACA